rnacentral:rRNA from 1 species
GGAAUCUUCCGCAAUGGGCGCAAGCCUGACGGAGCAACGCCGCGUGGGUGAGGAAGUUCUUCGGAACGUAAAGCCCUGUUGUACAUGACGAACGUGCUUUCUAUCAACAACGGGAAGCAAUGACGGUAGUGUACGAGGAAGCCACGGCUAACUACGUGCCAGCAGCCGCGGUAAUACGUAGGUGGCAAGCGUUGUCCGGAAUUAUUGGGCGUAAAGCGAGCGCAGGCGGUUUCUUAAGUCUGAUGUGAAAGCCUUCGGCUUAACCGAAGAAGUGCAUCGGAAACUGGGAAACUUGAGUGCAGAAGAGGACAGUGGAACUCCAUGUGUAGCGGUGAAAUGCGUAGAUAUAUGGAAGAACACCAGUGGCGAAGGCGGCUGUCUGGUCGGUAACUGACGCUGAGGCUCGAAAGCAUGGGUAGCGAACA